rnacentral:rRNA from 1 species
CGCGUAGGCGGCAUUGCAAGUCAGAUGUGAAAGCCCCGGGCUUAACCUGGGAAUUGCAUCUGAAACUGUUUUGCUUGAGUCCUGGAGGGGAUAGUGGAAUUCCCAGUGUAGCGGUGAAAUGCGUAGAUAUUGGGAGGAACACCUGCGGCGAAGGCGGCUAUCUGGACAGUGACUGACGCUGAUGCGCGAAAGCUAGGGGAGCGAACGG